rnacentral:rRNA from 1 species
GACGAACGCUGGCGGCGUGCUUAACACAUGCAAGUCGAACGGAAAGGCCCCUUUGGGGGUACUCGAGUGGCGAACGGGUGAGUAACACGUGAGUAACCUGCCCUUGACUUCGGGAUAACUUCAGGAAACUGGGGCUAAUACCGGAUAGGAAUCCUUGCUGCAUGGUGGGGGUUGGAAAGCUUCGGCGGUUUUGGAUGGACUCGCGGCUUAUCAGCUUGUUGGUGGGGGAGUGGCUUACCAAGGCUUUGACGGGUAGCCGGCCUGAGAGGGCGACCGGCCACAUUGGGACUGAGAUACGGCCCAGACUCCUACGGGAGGCAGCAGUGGGGAAUAUUGCACAAUGGGCGGAAGCCUGAUGCAGCAACGCCGCGUGCGGGAUGACGGCCUUCGGGUUGUAAACCGCUUUCAGCAGGGGCGAAGCUUGUGGUGACGUUACCUGCAGAAGAAGCACCGGCUAACUACGUG